GUCUCUGUAGCGUGAUGGACAGCACGUUGGACUUCUAAUCCAAAGGUCGUGGGCUCAAGUCCCACCUGGGAUG